GGGAUGUGAGGAGGCGGCAGAGGAGGAAUGCAGGGGAGUCUGGCAUGGCAGAGAAGAAUGUGGCUGGAGGGAGUUUCUGAAAGCAAACAAAAGGAGAUAUGGAGUACAUUUGAAUGUACAGAACAGGAGAUUGUCUGGGAAUAUGCAAGUAAAAUGUGUGUGGGACUGCUGCCUGUCCUGUCUGACAGAGAGAAGAUUGGAAAGCUGCAACAUGUGAGCUUCACUCAUUCCCCAGGAGAUGAACAAAAAUUCCAGGGGCACCUGGGAGCAAGAAGAGGAAGUGAUCAGCCACCCUGCAGCGUCCUGCUGUUGUAAUUCUGGACUGCAAAUCCCAGAGACCUCAGAGGCAGCAGGAAGAGGAAAUGAACAUACAGCCAGAGAUCUAUGCUCUAGUGUCCUCCCCAGCUUCUGGUUUGAGCCACUGCAGGCAUGUGGCUGCAUUUCCUGAAUCAAAGAGUUCACUUCUUCCAGCUUGAACACAUUGAACAUUUGGAGUUUUGCUUACAUCUUGAAUGCAGUGAUACCCUUCUGAUGCCCUCAUUCCCAUUGGUCAUCAUGCUUUGAUCUCAGACUUAACAUCAUCCUUAAUGAAAAAUGUUAGCUAACUAAAUAUCAGUCAGCCAAGGAGCUGUCUUCAGACCCACCUCUUGGAUGGGACCAGAUGCCUACUCAUACUCUUCUCAUUAUCCUAACAUUCUGGAUAUUAAUGAACUUGCUCCUGAAGACCUCAAGGAGUGGCCUGACCCUGAAGAGCAUCCCCCAGAAAUGCGUUCAGAUAGCCUUCACGUGGUCCAGCUGCAGUAUCCAUACUGGAAGAAACCCGCCACCCUGACGCAAGUGAAGUCCUGGUCUCUGAGUAGAAGAAACUGGAUAGUUGACUGGCAAGGUGGUAACUGUCAGUGUACCUGUGGCACCAGUUAUUAUCUUGAGUUCAUUCCCUACCUGAAGGCUGGAAUGGCUAACUGUGGGAGGGAAGGUGAUUGUUGUAGUUUUGCUCGUUUGAGAAUUUGUUGUUACAUACUUCCUGAGGGGAACCCUGUUAAGCUCAACGCCCCUGAGUUUGUGUCCCCAAUAGUGCAUUCUGCAUCUGUUCUGCCUCUCAAGCUAUUGUGUUUAUGGGAGAAUCUUCCCCCUCCCAUCCCUAUGGCUGACAACACUCUCCAGCAUGGUGUAAAGCCCACCAGGUGGGAGAGCACAUUAUAGGUUGGAACAAAGUUAUUACAUGGUUUGUAAAUCAUCCCUAUACAGAGGUGUGAUGGAAUGGUACCUACUUUAAUACAACCAGAAGGAGGCUGUAUCCACAAGUCUCCACCACUUAUCCUCAUCCUUUUAUACCAGUGAAGUUCCUAAAGCAAAUCAGUGCUAUGAUUCUGCCAAAGCGGUGCCAUUACAUUAACCAGAUACAGCAUCAUCCCCAUGAGCAACAGUGGGAGCUCUUUCGCUCUCUGGAAAGUGAAGCAUGGUUACAGGCUCCCAAAGAAAAAAGGAUAAAUGUGAUCUGUGAGAAAAUGGGGUGUUCACUACUAUCUCUGGCCGUUCCCCCAUGGGCGGCCCCAACACCACCCAUGUAUAACUCCACACCCUGGUGGAGGUCACAAGUUAAAAUCCCAGCCCACCUAACAUGACCUACAUAUACGAGUUACCUAAUGUGUCAUAUGUAACAAUAGGGCAACGUGAUUGUUGGGAAAGACCAGGUCGUUUUCUGCAUAAAAAUAGUACCACCUGGACUUUAUGCAAUUCGUGUUGCUUAGGAGCUAAAAGUGGAGCCAUUGCUCUACUGCAAUUCAGUAACCAUACUAUUGCCCUAAAAUGGCCAGAAAUUUCCUCUGAAACCAUACCUCUCAACUUUAUGAUACCCACUUCAUGGGUAUCAGAUGUAGACAUGCCAUGGUUAAAAAACUGGAAUAAAGUAAAAAAUAAGCCUUGAGGCAAAGGCUCGGCAAGGCGCUCAGUUGGCUCUCCUUGCUCGAGAGGGAAGGCAAACCAUCAGUCUAGUUGCCAACGUGCCCGAGCCUUGUAAAUGGUAUGAUGUAAUCUGUACUAUUCGUGUGUCACCAAGUGCCACCUCAACUACAUGGCUAACCGUCUUGAGCAUCAUAGUAUUCUGCAUUGCCCUAGUGGCAACAGCUAAAUAGUGUUUUAAUCAUUGUUGUUGUAAAUCUGUCAUGCUAUACAUGUUAAAUGUAUAGAUCCCUCCCCAUUUCCCAAUGUAGCGCAUGUAACUUUAGCAUCUCAAUUGUAGCCAUCAUAGUGCUUCAGCAAGCAAGGGGUGGAGUGUGACAGCUGAAAUUAUGUCUGUGUGAUAAAGGUGCUUGCUGAAGGCUAUAUGAAGAUUAUAUCAAGUGUUUUUCUGUAUUUGUUUAGAUAUUAAGCUAUAUGUUGUUGCUAAAAGCCUAACUAAAGUUUAAGAUGUAGUGAGGCCUUGUAUAAAGUAAGGCCUAGUAAAUUUAGCAAAGCCUUGAAGUAGUAAGGCCCUGUGGUGUUGUUAAAAUUACCUUAUCAAAGGAAUGCAAGGCUUGUACUGCUAAUUGGUCAGUCUAAGGACAGUUGAAGUAAAAGGAAUCUGAGUGGUUGUACGUUAUCAGAACCAUUCAGAAGCUUUAAAUUGGCUGGAAUAUCUGGAAACUAUUCAGAAGGAAGAUACAGCUCUGUGAAAAGGAUUAGUUAGCUAUUGCCUGGAUCAGUGGGCCCAUGGACCUUGAGGAGCCCAAGGACUGCAUUCCAGGGUCCUUCCCGGUACCCCUUUGGACAGUGCUGUUUAGGGACGCCUGACUUCGCUGAACCUUGUGGAAAGAGAAGCUUGCUGUGUAUCAGGCAUCAGAGGGGACUGCUGAUAAAUUGCCGACAUGAAUUGCUUUUGUCUGUCAUUGUUUGUCUUGUUACUAUGCGUAAUUGUGUUUUUGUUAAGUCAAUAAAUCUUUCUAACCUUUCUACCCCUGACCAUAC